GGCCCCAUAGUCUAUAAAGGGCAAUAAAUUGCAAAUUUAUUGGAGGAUAAAAUUCCUGGGGCUU
rnacentral:tRNA from 1 species